AAUGAUAUGCCUGAUAAAAGGGUUAUUUUGAUAGAAUAAAUUAUACAUUUCAAAAAAAUGUUUUCAUUA
rnacentral:tRNA from 1 species